rnacentral:misc_RNA from 1 species
GAAGUGCGAUAAGCAGUGCGAAUUGCAGAAUUCAGUGAAUCAUCGAAUCUUUGAACGCACAUUGCGCCCCCUGGUAUUCCGGGGGGCAUGCCUGUUCGAGCGUCAUUUCACCACUCAAGCCUCGCUUGGUAUUGGGCGACGCGGUCCGCCGCGCGCCUCAAAUCGACCGGCUGGGUCUUCCGUCCCCUCAGCGUUGUGGAAACUAUUCGCUAAAGGGUGCCGCGGGAGGUCACGCCGCAAAACAACCCCAUUUCUAAGGUUGACCUCGGAUCAGGUAGGGAUACCCGCUGAACUUAAGC